CAUAACCUUUAGCCAAACAAAUAUUAAAGGCAACGCCUGCCCAGUGAACAAUUAAACGGCCGCGGUACCCUAACCGUGCAAAGGUAGCAUAAUCAUUUGUCUACUAAUUAUAGACCUGUAUGAAAGGCAAAAUGAGGGCCUUACUGUCUCUUAUAAUAAGUCAAUUAAACUGAUCUCCUAGUAAAAAAGCUAGAAUUCCACCAUAAGACCAGAAGACCCUGUGAAGCUUAAACUAAACUAUUAAACCAAAUAAUAGAUACUUUCGGUUGGGGCGACCUUGGAAAAAAAAAGAACUUCCAUAAACACACCUAUUUAAGGAAACUAAUAGGCUAACAAGCCAAUAAAUGACCCAGCAAAGCUGACAAAUGAACCAAGUUACUCCAGGGAUAACAGCGCAAUCCUCUUUAAGAGCCCAUAUCAAAAAGAGGGUUUACGACCUCGAUGUUGGAUCAGGACAUCCUAAUGGUGCAGCCGCUAUUAAGGGUUCGUUUGUUCAACGAUUAAUAGUCCUACGUGAU
rnacentral:rRNA from 1 species